rnacentral:lncRNA from 1 species
UCAUGGUCACUAAAAACCAACCGUCAAUUGCCUAAUAAACCCAAACAAACGUAGGGCUUGAAAUUUAACGCAUGCGCUAUCAAAUUUAAAAUGACUAUGAAUAUUGAAACUUUACAGGUUGAAACAAACGUAGCAUAGACAACGCAUAGACAACAAUAACAAAAAACUGAAAUGGGGCAAAGCUAAAACAAAGCAAGAAAUAGGGCAAAGCUAAAACGAAACAAACGUACCUUUGGUGCCAGAAGGAGGAAACGUCGUAGAUCUAACAGAGGUGGAAGGAGAACGCCUUAGAACCCUAACGUGAAAAAGAACGAAAAUAACAGAGAGUGAAAUAACAAAACGCGCAGUAUGUUAUAAUUUUAAUGUUUACUAAAGGGGACCUUAGAGGGCGCUUGUGGAAAAAAAGCGCCCUCUAAGGUGCGCUGUCUAUUGCUCCUUAUUUUUUCGCUUCACUUUAGACAGCGCUU